ACGGGGCGCAGCAGGCGCGAAAACUCUGCAAUGCGCGAAAGCGUGACAGGGGGACUCCAAGUGUCCCUGUACAACAGGGUCUUUUUAGGUAUGUAAAAAGUACCUAGAAUAAGGGGUGGGCAAGACUAGUGCCAGCCUCCGCGGUAACACUAGCAUCCUCGAGUGGUAGUCGCGAUUAUUUGGCUUAAAGCGUCCGUAGUCGGGCCGUUAAGUCCUCUGUGAAAUCCUGCGGCUUAACCGUAGGGCUUGCAGAGGAUACUGGCGGCCUUGGAGCCGGGAGAGGUUGGGGGUAUUCCUAGGGUAGCGGCGAAAUGCUAUAAUCCUAGGAGGACCACCGAUAGCGAAGGCACCCAACUAGAACGGGCUCGACGAUGAGGGACGAGAGCUAGGGGAGCAAACCGGAUUAGAUACCCGGGUAGUCCUAGCCGUAAACGAUGCGGGCUGAGUGUCUCCUGAACCUCGAGUUCAGGAGGUGCUGAAGGGAAACCGUUAAGCCUGCCGCCUGGGGAGUACGGUCGCAAGGCUGAAACUUAAAGGAAUUGGCGGGGGAGCACCACAAGGGGUGGAGUCUGCGGUUCAAUCGGAUACAACGCCGAGAAACUUACCAGGGGUGACGGCAGUAUGACAGCCAAGCUAAUGACUUUGCUCGACGAGCCGAGAGGUAGUGCAUGGCCGUCGUCAGCUCGUACCGUGAGGCGUGCGGUUAAGUCCGUUAACGAGCGAGACCCGUGCCUUUAUUUGCUACCUCCUCCGCGAGGAGGGGGGCACUAUAAAGGGACCGCUGGCGAUGAGUCAGAGGAAGGCGCGGUCGACGAUAGGUCUGUAUGCUCCGAAUCUCCUGGGCUACACGUGGACUACAAUGGCAUGGACAAUUGGAUGCGACGCCGUAAGGUGAAGCCAAUCCCCUAAACCAUGUCUCAGUUCGGAUCGAGGGUUGAAACUCACCCUCGUGAAGGUGAAAUCCCUAGUAAUCGCUGGUCAUCAUCCAGCGGUGAAUAUGUCCCUGCUCCUUGCACACACCGCCCGUCAAACCAAUCGAGUGAGUCUGGGACGAGGCUUCCUCGUAUGGGGGAGUCAAGUUCCAGGCUCGCGAGAGGGGUUAAGUCGUAACAAGGUAGCCGU
rnacentral:rRNA from 1 species